CCUACGGGAGGCAGCAGUGGGGAAUCUUGCGCAAUGGGCGAAAGCCUGACGCAGCAACGCCGCGUGAGGGACGAAGGUUUUCUGAAUUGUAAACCUCUUUCAGCAGGGAAGAUAAUGACGGUACCUGCAGAAGAAGCACCGGCUAACUACGUGCCAGCAGCCGCGGUGAUACGUAGGGUGCAAGCGUUGUCCGGAUUUAUUGGGCGUAAAGAGCUCGUAGGCGGUUUGGUAAGUCGGUUGUGAAAUCCCCAGGCUCAACCUGGGGCCUGCAUUCGAUACUGCCAUGACUAGAGUUUGGUAGGGGACCACGGAAUUCCUGGUGUAGCGGUGGAAUGCGCAGAUAUCAGGAGGAACACCAGUAGCGAAGGCGGUGGUCUGGGCCAAUACUGACGCUGAGGAGCGAAAGCGUGGGGAGCAAACAGGAUUAGAUACCCUGGCAGUCCACGCCGUAAACGGUGGGCACUAGGUGUGGGGACUAUUCAACGGUUUCCGCGCCGACGCUAACGCAUUAAGUGCCCCGCCUGGGGNGACGCGCAGACGAACACAAGAUAGAGCGNGAGAGUGCGAGCGACGACGAGGAGAGG
rnacentral:rRNA from 1 species